rnacentral:rRNA from 1 species
UACAGAGGGUGCGAGCGUUAAUCGGAAUUACUGGGCGUAAAGCGCGCGUAGGCGGCUUUGCAAGUCGGGUGUGAAAUCCCCAGGCUUAACCUGGGAACUGCAUUCGAGACUGCAUUGCUAGAGUAUGGGAGAGGGUAGUGGAAUUCCCGGUGUAGCGGUGAAAUGCGUAGAUAUCGGGAGGAACAUCAGUGGCGAAGGCGGCUACCUGGCCCAAUACUGACACUCAGGUGCGGAAAAGCUAGGGGAGCGAACAGG